GCGGGUAUAGCUCAGUGGUAGAGAGCAUGCUUAGCGUGCAUGGGGUCCAGUGUUCAAUCCCCAGUACCUCCA
rfam:Camelus ferus unplaced genomic scaffold scaffold1683, whole genome shotgun sequence.